rnacentral:misc_RNA from 1 species
UCCUCGUUUAAGCGAGGCAGUCUGUCCAGAGUGCUUCGAACUCUCGUUCAAGUGGCAACAGGACAUAAGGGUUGCGCUCGUUGCGGGACUUAACCCAACAUCUCACGUCACGAGCUGACGACAGCCAUGCAGCACCUGAGCAGGAUGGUAUUGCUACCUCGUCACCCUUUCAGGCUUCUACUACCUACAUGUCAAGGCCAGGUAAGGUUCUUCGCGUUGCAUCGAAUUAAGCCACAUACUCCACCGCUUGUGCAGGCCCCCGUCAAUUUCUUUGAGUUUUAACCUUGCGGCCGUAGUCCCCAGGCGGAGCACUUAAUGCGUUAGCUGCGGCACCGCAGGGGUCAAUACCCGCGACACCUAGUGCUCAUCGUUUACAGCGUGGACUAC